rnacentral:rRNA from 1 species
AUUGAACGCUGGCGGAAUGCUUUACACAUGCAAGUCGAACGGUAGAGGGGGCAACCCCUUGAGAGUGGCGAACGGGUGAGUAAUAUAUCGGAACGUGCCCAGUCGUGGGGGAUAACGUAGUGAAAAUUACGCUAAUACCGCAUACGAUCUAAGGAUGAAAGCGGGGGAUCGCAAGACCUCGCGCGACUGGAGCGGCCGAUAUCAGAUUAGGUAGUUGGUAGGGUAAAGGCCUACCAAGCCAACGAUCUGUAGCUGGUCUGAGAGGACGACCAGCCACACUGGAACUGAGACACGGUCCAGACUCCUACGGGAGGCAGCAGUGGGGAAUUUUGGACAAUGGGCGAAAGCCUGAUCCAGCCAUUCCGCGUGCAGGAUGAAGGCCCUCGGGUUGUAAACUGCUUUUGUACAGAACGAAAAGGUUUCUAUUAAUACUAGGAGCUCAUGACGGUACUGUAAGAAUAAGCACCGGCUAACUACGUGCCAGCAGCCGCGGUAAUACGUAGGGUGCAAGCGUUAAUCGGAAUUACUGGGCGUAAAGCGUGCGCAGGCGGUUAUAUAAGUCAGAUGUGAAAUCCCCGGGCUCAACCUGGGAACUGCAUUUGAGACUGUAUAGCUAGAGUACGGUAGAGGGGGAUGGAAUUCCGCGUGUAGCAGUGAAAUGCGUAGAUAUGCGGAGGAACACCGAUGGCGAAGGCAAUCCCCUGGACC